rnacentral:rRNA from 1 species
UACGGGGGGGGCAAGCGUUGUUCGGAAUUACUGGGCGUAAAGGGCUUGUAGGCGGCCAACUAAGUCAAACGUGAAAUCCCUCGGCUUAACCGGGGAACUGCGCUUGAUACUGGAUGGCUUGAAUUCGGGAGAGGGAUGCGGAAUUCCAGGUGUAGCGGUGAAAUGCGUAGAGAUCUGGAGGAACACCGGUGGCGAAGGCGGCAGCCUGGACGGAUACUGACGCUGAGGCGCGAAAGCCAGGGGAGCAAACGGG